rnacentral:rRNA from 1 species
AUUGAACGCUGGCGGCAUGCCUUACACAUGCAAGUCGAACGGUAACAGGUUAAGCUGACGAGUGGCGAACGGGUGAGUAAUGUAUCGGAACGUGCCCAGUCGUGGGGGAUAACUGCUCGAAAGAGCAGCUAAUACCGCAUACGACCUGAGGGUGAAAGCGGGGGAUCGCAAGACCUCGCGCGAUUGGAGCGGCCGAUAUCAGAUUAGGUAGUUGGUGAGGUAAAGGCUCACCAAGCCGACGAUCUGUAGCUGGUCUGAGAGGACGACCAGCCACACUGGGACUGAGACACGGCCCAGACUCCUACGGGACGCAGCAGUGGGGAAUUUUGGACAAUGGGCGCAAGCCUGAUCCAGCCAUGCCGCGUGCGGGAAGAAGGCCUUCGGGUUGUAAACCGCUUUUGUCAGGGAAGAAAAGGUUCUGGCUAAUACCUGGGACUCAUGACGGUACCUGAAGAAUAAGCACCGGCUAACUACGUG